rnacentral:lncRNA from 1 species
GACAGAUGUUUGCUAAUUUUUAUGCUUAUUUCACCAUUUAACGUUUAGUAGUCAACCAAUCGGAACACACUCAGACAUUCUGCUUUUUUGCAUCUUAAAGGAAUGAGGUGUUAGAUUAUGUAUUCAUAUUGACCCAUAUGUCGACUCUCGAUGCGGGAUGAGAUCUGAAGUCACACUGCCCCAGCUUGUCUGGCAAAACAC